rnacentral:rRNA from 1 species
CUCUAGUAUAAGCAAUUAUACAGCGAAACUGCGAAUGGCUCAUUAUAUAAGUUAUCGUUUAUUUGAUAGUACCUUACUACUUGGAUAACCGUGGUAAUUCUAGAGCUAAUACAUGCUGAAAAUCCCGACUUCGGAAGGGAUGUAUUUAUUAGAUUCAAAACCAAUGCCCUCUGGGCUCACUGGUGAUUCAUGAUAACUCCUCGAAUCGCACGGCCUUGCGCCGGCGAUGGUUCAUUCAAAUUUCUUCCCUAUCAACUUUCGAUGUUUGGGUAGUGGCCAAACAUGGUUGCAACGGGUAACGGAGGGUUAGGGCUCGACCCCGGAGAAGGAGCCUGAGAAACGGCUACUACAUCCAAGGAAGGCAGCAGGCGCGCAAAUUACCCAAUCCCGACACGGGGAGGUAGUGACAAUAAAUACUGAUACAGGGCUCUUUUGGGUCUUGUAAUUGGAAUGAGUACAAUUUAAAUCCCUUAACGAGGAACAAUUGGAGGGCAAGUCUGGUGCCAGCAGCCGCGGUAAUUCCAGCUCCAAUAGCGUAUAUUAAAGUUGUUGUGGUUAAAAAGCUCGUAGUUGAACCUUGGGCCUGGCUGGCCGGUCCGCCUCACCGCGUGUACUGGUCCGGCCGGGCCUUUCCCUCUGUGGAACCCCAUGCCCUUCACUGGGCGUGGCGGGGAAACAGGACUUUUACUUUGAAAAAAUUAGAGUGCUCCAGGCAGGCCUAUGCUCGAAUACAUUAGCAUGGAAUAAUGAAAUAGGACGCGCGGUUCUAUUUUGUUGGUUUCUAGGACCGCCGUAAUGAUUAAUAGGGACAGUCGGGGGCAUCAGUAUUCAAUAGUCAGAGGUGAAAUUCUUGGAUCUAUUGAAGACUAACUACUGCGAAAGCAUUUGUCAAGGAUGUUUUCAUUAAUCAGGAACGAAAGUUAGGGGAUCGAAGACGAUCAGAUACCGUCGUAGUCUUAACCAUAAACUAUGCCGACUAGGGAUCGGACGAUGUUAUUUUUUGACUCGUUCGGCACCUUACGAGAAAUCAAAGUGCUUGGGCUCCAGGGGGAGUAUGGUCGCAAGGCUGAAACUUAAAGG